GCGUCGUUAGUACAACAGGUUAAAGCACGCGCUCUCGGAUAGAGUGAGAUGCGGGUUCGAAUCCCGCCUGACGCA